CUGCCUUCCCUGCAUGAAUACCCAGGACAGGGCUGCCCUAGAGAGGUAGUUGCUGGCACAGGCAGGUGUGAUCUGUACCAGCAGCAAAGCCUCUCACAUGGCUAGUUCCUUUUUGUGGCCCCAACAAGGCUCUGCCAAGCACAUUCUGAGUUAGACUUUACAUUAGAACAGGAAAGCAAACACCUGGGACUCUUCUCCAGGGAGCUGACCUGUUUCGUGGCAGCUCUUUAAAGUCCGUUUGUGGGAGCCAUCUUUUUGGUAAGAAGGAAUAAGCUCAUUGAAUUCGGUUCUUGUGGGAUCGGGAGGCUUGAUGAGCGAUACUGGUUUUAUUCUCUUCAAAUCCUGUAUUCUCCUUGCAGAAAGAACCCAUCCAGCCAGCGGAGUGCAAGCAGCAGUGAAAAGCAGCGACCCUAUGGGGCUGCCUCGUGGACGGCUGUCAGGACCGCAGGCUGCAGGCAGGAGCCUCAGUCCCUGCCAAAGCAGAAUUUUGUUGACAGUGCUGUGACAUCUAACCAUUUCCAAGUGCAUGAUCCUCUCCCCCUUCCCUUCUUACUUUGCUAAACUUGUACAGUGAAGACUGCUGCAGUUCAGAAUAGGAGAUUUAGUUGUAGCAGCUGCAGCUUUGGUGCCUGAAGAUCGCUUGGGGUGAGCCGGGGCUGUGCCUGGGAUUGACAGCCUGGUGAUUAUGUGCACUCAGCCCUCCCCUACUGAAAAGGCCCCAUGGUUCCAGCCGCCGAACUGUGUGGGAAGCUGCUCCAGCUGCUGUGCCCUAGUCAUCUCCCAAGCACUGUAGAGGAAGCUGUGCUCGCCUUAGAGCAUUUUUUUCUUGUGUUUUGGUUUUAGGGGUGGGUG
rnacentral:lncRNA from 1 species